rnacentral:miRNA from 1 species
GUCAAUUGAUAAUGGGCCCCA